rnacentral:tRNA from 1 species
UGGGGCGUCGGCAAAUGGUAAGCCACGGGACUUUGGAUCCCGCAUGUGCAGGUUCGAAUCCUGCCGCCCCAG